UACGGAGGAUGCAAGCGUUAUCCGGAAUGAUUGGGCGUAAAGCGUCCGCAGGUGGCAAUGUAAGUCUGCUGUCAAAGCGUCUGGCUCAACCAGAUAAAGGCAGUGGAAACUACAUAGCUAGAGUAGGGUAGGGGUAGAGGGAAUUCCUGGUGUAGCGGUGAAAUGCGUAGAGAUCAGGAAGAACACCGGUGGCGAAAGCGCUCUGCUGGACCUUAACUGACACUGAGGGACGAAAGCUAGGGGAGCGAAUGGG
rnacentral:rRNA from 1 species